GUGCGGUCAUAAAAAAGGUUGUUUUUUGAACCUUGGCUUUGCCAACAGCCUCGUAAGAGGUGAACAAACGAGCGAGCGAGUUUGUGAAUAAUUUUAAC
rfam:Rodentibacter rarus strain CCTG17206 contig_15, whole genome shotgun sequence.